rnacentral:rRNA from 1 species
GACGAACGCUGGCGGCGUGCUUAACACAUGCAAGUCGAACGGAAAGGCCCUGCUUUUGUGGGGUGCUCGAGUGGCGAACGGGUGAGUAACACGUGAGUAACCUGCCCUUGACUUUGGGAUAACUUCAGGAAACUGGGGCUAAUACCGGAUAGGAGCUCCUGCUGCAUGGUGGGGGUUGGAAAGUUUCGGCGGUUGGGGAUGGACUCGCGGCUUAUCAGCUUGUUGGUGGGGUAGUGGCUUACCAAGGCUUUGACGGGUAGCCGGCCUGAGAGGGUGACCGGCCACAUUGGGACUGAGAUACGGCCCAGACUCCUACGGGAGGCAGCAGUGGGGAAUAUUGCACAAUGGGCGGAAGCCUGAUGCAGCAACGCCGCGUGCGGGAUGACGGCCUUCGGGUUGUAAACCGCUUUCGCCUGUGACGAAGCGUGAGUGACGGUAAUGGGUAAAGAAGCACCGGCUAACUACGUGCCAGCAGCCGCGGUGAUACGUAGGGUGCGAGCGUUGUCCGGAUUUAUUGGGCGUAAAGGGCUCGUAGGUGGUUGAUCGCGUCGGAAGUGUAAAUCUUGGGCUUAACCCUGAGCGUGCUUUCGAUACGGGUUGACUUGAGGAAGGUAGGGGAGAAUGGAAUUCCUGGUGGAGCGUGGAAUGCGCAGAUAUCAGGAGGAACACCAGUGGCGAAGGCGGUUCUCUGGGCCUUUCCUGACGCUGAGGAGCGAAAGCGUGGGGAGCGAACAGGCUUAGAUACCCUGGUAGUCACGCUGUAAACGGUGGGUACUAGGUGUGGGGUCCAUUCCACGGGUUCCGUGCCGUAGCUAACGCUUUAAGUACCCCGCCUGGGGAGUACGGCCGCAAGGCUAAAACUCAAAGGAAUUGACGGGGCCCCGCACAAGCGGCGGAGCAUGCGGAUUAAUUCGAUGCAACGCGUAGAACCUUACCUGGGUUUGACAUGGAUCGGGAGUGCUCAGAGAUGGGUGUGCCUCUUUUGGGGUCGGUUCACAGGUGGUGCAUGCCUGUCGUCAGCUCGUGUCGUGAGAUGUUGGGUUAAGUCCCGCAACGAGCGCAACCCUUGUUCACUGUUGCCAGCACGUUAUGGUGGGGACUCAGUGGAGACCGCCGGGGUCAACUCGGAGGAAGGUGGGGAUGACGUCAAGUCCUCAUGCCCCUUAUGUCCAGGGCUUCACGCAUGCUACAAUGGCUGGUACAGAGAGUGGCGAGCCUGUGAGGGUGAGCGAAUCUCGGAAAGCCGGUCUCAGUUCGGAUUGGGGUCUGCAACUCGACCUCAUGAAGUCGGAGUCGCUAGUAAUCGCAGAUCAGCAACGCUGCGGUGAAUACGUUCCCGGGGCU